rnacentral:ncRNA from 1 species
GCACGCGCCUGUAUCUUCGGGCCGCUCCGCCGAAAGGCGGAGAUGAAAACUGGGAGAAUUGUCGGGAAGCCCAAAUUUGGGUAAUCCGCAGCCGAGCCGAACAACCUUAUCUCAUAUAUGAGAUAAGGGGACUAGGAAGGUUCAGAGACUAUGCACCCAGAAUCUAAACUCAAUUAUUAUUGAAUAUGAUUAAGAUAUAGUCCGAUCCUCGAGGUAACUUGAGA